AUUGAACGCUGGCGGCAUGCCUUACACAUGCAAGUCGAACGGCAGCACGGGGGCAACCCUGGUGGCGAGUGGCGAACGGGUGAGUAAUGCAUCGGAACGUGCCCCGUAGCGGGGGAUAACCAGUCGAAAGACUGGCUAAUACCGCAUACGCUCCACGGAGGAAAGCAGGGGAUCGCAAGACCUUGCACCAUGGGAGCGGCCGAUGCCCGAUUAGCUAGUUGGGAGGUAAAGGCUCACCAAGGCGACGAUCGGUAGCUGGUUUGAGAGAACGACCAGCCACACUGGGACUGAGACACGGCCCAGACUCCUACGGGAGGCAGCAGUGGGGAAUUUUGGACAAUGGGCGCAAGCCUGAUCCAGCCAUGCCGCGUGCGGGAUGAAGGCCU
rnacentral:rRNA from 1 species